AUUGUAUGUGGAGUUGGUUGAGUGUGAGGGUUGUGAGUGCAAUGUUCCUGCUUAUCUUAAUGCAGAGGAGGGUGUAUAAUCCCUGGUGGUCCCUGUGGGUGCUGCUAGUCACAUCCCUGGUGGUCCAGUGGGGGAGCAUGUGUUCUGCACCUCUGGUGGAUGCAGACCACAUAAACCCUCUUGCAGCCCAGUGCUCACUUAAUGAGUAACAGUAAUUUUAUGGUAAACUGUUGGCCACACUGAUCUAUUCACUGAGCCUGGGAACCACGAAGGAGCACUUAAAGGCAGAGUAAUUUUUUCAGGAUGAGGGGGAUCUGCAUGAUAUUAGACAGGUGGUUAUACCCACAGGCUCCCAAAUAUCAUAUAUACAGUCAUACCCACACUCUUAAAUACAGACUGUCAUACCCACAGACUCCCAGAUAUACAUAAAUGCAGUCAUACUCACAGACUUUCAGAUAUACAUAUACACCAUCAUACCAACAGACUCCCAGAUAUACAUACAUUCAGUCAUACUGGCUGUCAUACCCACAGUCUCCCAUACAUACUUGUAUAAUACCAUGUGAGGACACAGUAUGUUUGUUACACUUUGAGAUUAGUUUUGUUACAAAUUGCAAUUUAUCCGAAUUUGGGAAGACUGAGUGAGUGUUUAAUUCCCAAUCUCUGAGCCGAAAUGUAUCUGAAUCAUAAAAAUGGAAUGUGCUAUGGCUGAGCGUAUUUGUUUUUUUUUUUUUUUUUUGGUAUUCUGCCUGUGGCAACAACAAAAAAGAGGCAUAGUCCUGAUAUCAGGGUCCCGUUCCAAUAUCCCAACUUUGUUCCCGGGUGUCCCGCUUUUAGCGACAAUAGGAGACUGUCCCAACCAUGAACUCAUUCUGCAGAGAGUGCUGAAACUGUGCUCCCUGCAUAAUCUGCUGUUGGCGGGCUGGUCUGUUUGAUUGGCAGACGGUGUGGCAACUCUCCGGGUGCACCCAACUUUCUGAGCAGGGGGGAAGCCACACAGGAGUCCUUCUUUUAUUUUUGCACUGGGGUCCAGUGGUUCCUAGUUACA